rnacentral:rRNA from 1 species
GGAGUCUGGGCCGUAUCUCAGUCCCAAUGUGGCCGUUCAACCUCUCAGUCCGGCUACUGAUCAUCGCCAUGGUAGGCCUUUACCCCACCAUCCAGCUAAUCAGACGCGAGCCCAUCCUUCAGCGAUAUUUCUUUGAUACAGUCAUGAUGCCAUGUCCGUAUGUUAUGCGGUAUUAGCAGUCGUUUCCAACUGUUGUCCCCCUCUGAAGGGCAGGUUGCUCACGCGUUACUCACCCGUCCGCCACUAAGUCCUCCCUCCGCUUGACCGAAGUCUUGCUUUGGGAGCUUCGUUCGACUUGCAUGUGUUAGGCACGCCGCCAGCGUCGUCCUCGAGCCACGGAGUCAAACUACU